rnacentral:rRNA from 1 species
UACGGAGGGUGCAAGCGUUAUCCGGAUUCACUGGGUUUAAAGGGUGCGUAGGCGGACUGGUAAGUCCGUGGUGAAAUCCCCGAGCUUAACUUGGGAACUGCCAUGGAUACUAUUAGUCUUGAAUAUCGUGGAGGUAUGCGGAAUAUGUCAUGUAGCGGUGAAAUGCUUAGAUAUGACAUAGAACACCUAUUGCGAAGGCAGCAUACUACACGUUCAUUGACGCUGAGGCACGAAAGCGUGGGGAUCAAACAGG